GUGGGGAAUUUUGGACAAUGGGCGCAAGCCUGAUCCAGCAAUGCCGCGUGUGUGAAGAAGGCCUUCGGGUUGUAAAGCACUUUUGUCCGGAAAGAAAUCUCCUGGGUUAAUACCUCGGGGGGAUGACGGUACCGGAAGAAUAAGCACCGGCUAACUACGUGCCAGCAGCCGCGGUAAUACGUAGGGUGCGAGCGUUAAUCGGAAUUACUGGGCGUAAAGCGUGCGCAGGCGGCUAUGCAAGACAGAUGUGAAAUCCCCGGGCUCAACCUGGGAACUGCAUUUGUGACUGCAUGGCUAGAGUGCGUCAGAGGGAGGUGGAAUUCCGCGUGUAGCAGUGAAAUGCGUAGAGAUGCGGAGGAACACCGAUGGCGAAGGCAGCCUCCUGGGAUGACACUGACGCUCAUGCACGAAAGCGUGGGGAGCUAACAGGAUUAGAUACCCCGGUAGUCC
rnacentral:rRNA from 1 species